CGCCGUAGCAAUACGGAGUGGCAGACGGGUGAGUAACGCGUGGGAACAUGCCCUUCGGUUCGGAAUAACUCAUGGAAACUUGAGCUAAUACCGGAUACGUCCAAGGCAACUUGGAGAAAGAUUUAUCGCCGGAGGAUUGGCCCGCGUCUGAUUAGCUAGUUGGUGGGGUAAUGGCUCACCAAGGCGACGAUCAGUAGCUGGUCUGAGAGGAUGAUCAGCCACAUUGGGACUGAGACACGGCCCAAACUCCUACGGGAGGCAGCAGUGGGGAAUAUUGGACAAUGGGCGCAAGCCUGAUCCAGCCAUGCCGCGUGAGUGAUGAAGGCCUUACGGUUGUAAAGCUCUUUUACCCGGGAAGAUAAUGACGGUACCGGGAGAAUAAGCCCCGGCUAACUUCGUGCCAGCAGCCGCGGUAAUACGAAGGGGGCUAGCGUUGUUCGGAAUCACUGGGCGUAAAGCGCACGUAGGCGGAUCCUUAAGUCAGGGGUGAAAUCCCGAGGCUCAACCUCGGGACUGCCUUUGAUACUGGGGAUCUCGAGUCCGGGAGAGGUGAGUGGAGUUGCGAGUGUAGAGGUGAAAUUCGUAGAUAUUCGCAAGAACACCAGUGGCGAAGGCGGCUCACUGGCCCGGUACUGACGCUGAGGUGCGAAAGCGUGGGGAGCAAACAGGAUUAGAUACCCUGGUAGUCCACGCCGUAAACGAUGGAUGCUAGCCGUCAGACAGCUUGGCUGUUUGGUGGCGCAGC
rnacentral:rRNA from 1 species